UUAUGGAUGAUUGUGAUUCCCGUCAUCGUUUCGGCUAAGACCAUACGCCACUCUCACUGCUCAGGUCUCUCUCUCUCUCUCUCUCUCUCUGAGAGAUGAAAUGAAGCAACGAAUCAACACUCUGACGCAAUUGAAUUCUUCAUUUCUUGAUUGAUGCCGAAUCCGUCGCUGUCCAUUUUGCUCAAUUUCUUCACUCAAUCUCGGCAGACCUACUUCUGAGUAUUCUUGCACGAGAAAUCCUCUUGCGUUUAGUGCUGACUUUUGGGCCGUAAUGGUUUCUUUUCUUCAUGGGUUGACUCUGUUGAUUUCUUGACGAUCGAUCGGGGUCGUUGGUCCCAGGAAAUCUCUGCAUUUCUUUCACAGCCCGCUGCAGGGUCGGAUGAAUGAGUCGGCAGCUCGAACGUUCGCUCGGUUGAUGGCGGAGCUCGUCCGGCCUCGGGUAUACGGCUGCUUUUAACUGUCGAAACCCUGUUUGUCUGAAGACAUUCCAGGGGAGAACUGGCAGAGCGUUUCUGCUCUCUCAUGCAAUGAAUGUCGAAUGUCGGGCCCAAAGAAGACAGGCAUCUCAUCACGGGCCUCCACCCUCCGGAAUCGGGAGAACCCAAGGAUUCUCCCGAUUCCGGCGAAAGUAGCCAUGACAACGGCCAUCACCCCUCCCCACCCAUCCAUCCCGAAUGGGGUCACCGGCGGCCUCCCUCUGAUUGGGAUCGUUGGCGCCCUCUGUGGUCUCGAUUUCAUCCAAAUUAACGAAAAAUUUGACGUCGUGCUAGAUUUGUUAUCAAAUUGAAAGUUUGUGCAUUUUAGAUUAAGGAAAAAGUUCGUACUAGAAUUAUUAAAAUGUGAACAGUUUGUACUUUAUUUUGUUAUUAACCCUAUAAAUUCACAUAUUUGAAACAAUAAAUAUAAAAAUGACCAAAACAUAAUGUGGUACUUUGUACAA